UCCUACGGGAGGCAGCAGUGGGGAAUAUUGCACAAUGGGCGGAAGCCUGAUGCAGCAACGCCGCGUGAGGGAUGACGGCCUUCGGGUUGUAAACCUCUUUUAGCAAGGAAGAAGCUUUUGUGACGGUACUUGCAGAAAAAGCGCCGGCUAACUACGUGCCAGCAGCCGCGGUAAUACGUAGGGCGCAAGCGUUAUCCGGAAUUAUUGGGCGUAAAGAGCUCGUAGGCGGUUUGUCGCGUCUGCUGUGAAAUCCCGAGGCUCAACCUCGGGCCUGCAGUGGGUACGGGCAGACUAGAGUGCGGUAGGGGAGAUUGGAAUUCCUGGUGUAGCGGUGGAAUGCGCAGAUAUCAGGAGGAACACCGAUGGCGAAGGCAGAUCUCUGGGCCGUAACUGACGCUGAGGAGCGAAAGGGUGGGGAGCAAACAGGAUUAGAUACCCUGGUAGA
rnacentral:rRNA from 1 species